UACGAAGGGGGCUAGCGUUGUUCGGAAUUACUGGGCGUAAAGCGUGCGCAGGCGGUUAUGCAAGACAGAUGUGAAAUCCCCGGGCUCAACCUGGGAACUGCAUUUGUGACUGCAUGGCUGGAGUGCGGCAGAGGGGGAUGGAAUUCCGCGUGUAGCAGUGAAAUGCGUAGAUAUGCGGAGGAACACCGAUGGCGAAGGCAAUCCCCUGGGCCUGCACUGACGCUCAUGCACGAAAGCGUGGGGAGCAAACAGG
rnacentral:rRNA from 1 species